rnacentral:rRNA from 1 species
CCUAAGGUAGCGAAAUUCCUUGUCGGGUAAGUUCCGACCCGCACGAAAGGCGUAAUGAUUUGAGCGCUGUCUCAACAAUGCACCCGGUGAAAUUGAAAUACCAGUGAAGAUGCUGGUUACCUGCGCCAGGACGGAAAGACCCCAUGGAGCUUUACUCCAGUUUGAUACUGGGAUUCGGUAUUGCAUGUACAGGAUAGGUGGGAGGCUUUGAAACAUGGACGCCAGUCUGUGUGGAGCCAAUGUUGGGAUACCACCCUUGCGAUAUUGGGUUUCUAACCUGCGCCCGUGACCCGGGCGGGGGACAAUGUCAGGCGGGGAGUUUGACUGGGGCGGUCGCCUCCGAAAGGGUAUCGGAGGCGCUCAAAGGUUCCCUCAGGAUGGUUGGAAACCAUCCAAAGAGUGCAAAGGCAUAAGGGAGCUUGACUGCGACACCGACGGGUGGAGCAGGUACGAAAGUAGGACUUAGUGAUCCGGUGGUAUGAAAGUGGGAUUGCCAUCGCUCAACGGAUAAAAGCUACCCUGGGGAUAACAGGCUUAUCACUCCCAAGAGUUCACAUCGACGGAGUGGUUUGGCACCUCGAUGUCGGCUCAUCGCAUCCUGGGGCUGUAGCAGGUCCCAAGGGUUGGGCUGUUCGCCCAUUAAAGCGGUACGCGAGCUGGGUUCAGAACGUCGUGAGACAGUUCGGUCCCUAUCCGGCGCGGGCGUAGGAUAUCUGAGAGGAGCUGUCCUUAGUACGAGAGGACCGGGAUGGACAGACCGCUGGUGUACCUGUUGGCCUACCAAGGCCAUGGCAGGGUAGCCAAGUCUGGACGGGAUAAACGCUGAAGGCAUCUAAGCGUGAAGCCCCCCUCAAGAUGAGAUAUCCCAUCGCGAAAGCGAGUAAGACCCCUUGAAGACGACGAGGUAGAUAGGUUAGAGGUGGAAGUGCAGUAAUGUACGGAGCUGACUAAUACUAAUCGGUCGAGGGCUUAUCCAG